AUCCUUUUCAGUUCAAAAGCAUAAUGAUUGGGCAUUCACGCUGUUGUGUGAGAUGUGCCUUCCUCCAAACUUUGUUAUAAUGUAAACACAUUACCUGUCUGAUG
ensembl:snoRNA